rnacentral:lncRNA from 1 species
CUCAGCUCAGCUCCUCCUUUUUACUUAGUCCAAGACUCCACCCGGUGGAAGGAUGCCACCUCUUCGGUCAGACCUCUCUGGAAACACUCUCACAGACAUGCUGAAGGACUCGUUCACAGAUGAUUCUAAAUGCAGUCGAGUUGACAAGGAAGAUUGGCCUUCACGCAAUGCUUGCAUACUUCUGGCACUUCAUAGAUCUGUGUCAGACACAUCAUAUAUAGAUUUCCUUAGUAGAAAGAGCUGACAAGAAAUCAAGUUGUACUCUGUGAGGAAGACCUACCUGACAUCUGACUCCUGAGGACUGAAGAUGGUAGUCACGAGUGGCUGAGAAACAUGAAGAUAAGUCUGACGAGCAUCAUUUGUGUGGGGAGAACACAAAGAUGAAGGUAGAAGGCAACCGUGACCAUCGCCCAUGCUGCCAGCUGCGAGGAGGUUGGUACUGGGAACAGCUAUGCAUCUAGCAUUGACUCAAGCUCGGCUGGGAUGAACAUAUUGUACUUGGCAGAAUUGCUCUAUUCUCUGGAACCCGGCUUGUUUCUUGAAAGAGAGAUAUUUCAGGAAAACCACCUGGAGGAAACAAGUCAUGCUGCCUUCAUCCUUGAAAAUCCCUCCACAUCCAAGGAGGCUACAGACAGGCUCACUCCUCACAGCAUGAGAUUGGUCAAGGUCCAGCAAUCAAAUGCAGUUGUGCCACGUGUUUGCUUGGCUCCGCCAUUGUUGGCUUCAGAUGUGUCCCUGAAAAAAUCUGCAUUUCUUUUAUUUUUUUUGUGAUCUUCAGUGUCUCUUCCUGACUUGAGCUGUGUCUGGAAAUAAAAGUAGGUUCCAGAAGAAAAAGGUCAAGAAGGAAGAAAAGAAGCCAUGGCAGCAGAAGAAUGGGAGCCACAUGACUGGGGACAUUUUCUUCCAUGGAAUGCUUUGGAAGAGCAGCAAUGCUUGGUCAUUGGUCUCUUGUCUCUAGAGGCAUAUUUUAGUACUGGGAGUUUCUCUGAAAAGUCACAGCAGCUGCUGCCUUAGUUUACCACAUGGAGUCGUGCAGAUUGUAUAGACAUGCUUCAGGAAUCAUCCCAAAGGCAAAGACUCUACGUGAGUACAUAUCUCCUGAAUGAGCCUAAGUGAAAUUAGAAGUCACUCUCUUGGAACCGAUCCUCCUGAACAGGAUUCGGGUGGACUGAUUCUCAAAGGCCAUCAGAAGGCAGAGGAGAGAGGAAAGACCAUUCUGAGCAGAGGAAAGGCAAAGAUCAAAGCUAGCCACAGAGCACAGUUCACAGAAACAGCAACAGGCAAGAGGUCGAUGGCUCCAAAACUAACUUCAAAACAGGAAAGGAGAGCUGAUGGAUACCCUUGACCUUUGAGUCAACAGGCUCCUCUGAACUCAUCAGUCAAAAUAUCCCAAGAGGCACCUGAGUUCUGUCAGUACAAGCACUCCAGUGCUAUCUCAGUGAUCUCAGCUAGUAUUCCAGUGGACGGAGGGGGGGGGGGGACAAAGCAACCAAUUAAAGGCAUCUUUCCUUGGAUUUGACUAACUAAAUAACAUCACUCUGAUAUUUGGCUUGGGAGUCCAUUCAGAGAUCAAAGUGUACCAUUUUACGAGCAAAACUCCAUCCAUGGUCCUAUCUGUGCAGUUGUGUGAGCACCUUACUCACACCACUAUUCUCUUCCUGUGGAGAGUGAACAAGAUGGCUCUAUAGCUUGCCACCAAGCCCAAAGAUCUGCGUUUGAUCCCUGGGGCCCACAAGGCAAAAGAAAUAACCCUCACAAUGACUUUACACACAGGCUGUAUUAUAUGUGCCCAAGCACGUGCAUGCACGCGAAUUCACACAAAGAAAUCAAUGAAAGCAUAAUAAAAUUU